GUUCCCUAUGAUGUUUCUGUAUGAACCAUGCUAAUGCUGAUAACUCCGUGAUUGAUCCUUUCUCUAUUCAUUUAACUGAGGGAAUU